UGUAGCUUUGUCAAAUUCAGUGUCUCCUUCCUGUGGAGAGCACUGGCCUAAAGGGCUGCUACAGGGAUGUUGUAGUUCAUGGGCCCCACAGCGCCCCCUGUGGCUGCUGGGGAUAAAUAUGUACUACACACAACA
ensembl:snoRNA small nucleolar RNA SNORA5